GGCCUAACACAUGCAAGUCGAACGAAGGCUUCGGCCUUAGUGGCGCACGGGUGCGUAACGCGUGGGAAUCUGCCCCUUGGUUCGGAAUAACAGUUGGAAACGACUGCUAAUACCGGAUGAUGACGUAAGUCCAAAGAUUUAUCGCCGAGGGAUGAGCCCGCGUAGGAUUAGGUAGUUGGUGUGGUAAAGGCGCACCAAGCCGACGAUCCUUAGCUGGUCUGAGAGGAUGAUCAGCCACACUGGGACUGAGACACGGCCCAGACUCCUACGGGAGGCAGCAGUGGGGAAUAUUGGACAAUGGGCGAAAGCCUGAUCCAGCAAUGCCGCGUGAGUGAUGAAGGCCUUAGGGUUGUAAAGCUCUUUUACCCGGGAUGAUAAUGACAGUACCGGGAGAAUAAGCCCCGGCUAACUCCGUGCCAGCAGCCGCGGUAAUACGGAGGGGGCUAGCGU
rnacentral:rRNA from 1 species